AGGCAGGAGAAUCACUUGAACCCAGGAAGUGGAGGCUGCAGUGAGCCGUGAUUGUGCCACUGCCACAGCCUGGGUGACAGAGUAAGACGCCGACUCA
rnacentral:miRNA from 1 species